UACGAAGGGUGCAAGCGUUACUCGGAAUUACUGGGCGUAAAGCGUGCGUAGGCGGUUCGUUAUGUCUGAUGUGAAAGCCCUGGGCUCAACCUGGGAAUGGCAGUGGAAACUGGCGAGCUAGAGUGCGGUAGAGGGUAGUGGAAUUCCCGGUGUAGCAGUGAAAUGCGUAGAGAUCGGGAGGAACAUCUGUGGCGAAGGCGGCUGCCUGGACCAGCACUGACACUGAGGCACGAAAGCGUGGGGAGCAAACAGG
rnacentral:rRNA from 1 species